GCUCAGGAACGGGAAAACUAUAUACCAUUGUCCUUACCCAAAGGGCUUCACACCUUAUUAAUGGUGACUCAUGUCUGGGUGGGGCCACUGUCUUGGAGGGGGCCUCCGUGAGGGGGGGCUUUGCCCCCAGGCGUUCUCCUGCCCUAGCAGGCCCCAGGCCACCAGUCUUUUACGGGCAGAGCAGCUGGGGCUGGGUGCCAGUCCCUCAGCAGCUGGCUCCCGUCCUUGGGGCCUCCAGAGCUCUGCUGUCAGGGACUCACCUGAUUGAUCUAUACUGCUAGCUGCAGCCAUAUACUUUUCCUUUGUCUGUAGGGGUUCCAGGGCUCUACGUCCCUGGCUCUUCCAUUUAAGACGAUGGGCUUCCAGAGCAGCCCCGACUGCGAGCCCCCUUGUUCUGGAUUGGUGGCUCCCGGAUCUGUUUAACUUUUCAGAGGGACGCAGGAAGACCUCUACGUGGCUGACACAGACAAGGCCCAUCACCUUUGAGGACAACACUCUGGAGAUCAAUUCUUGUGCUGUCUCCAAGACCAGCCAGAUCAAGGUAUGGCCGCCUAUGCCUUCGGUCCGCUAGUCCAAGCUGAUAAUCUGGCUUUUAUAAUCCAAACUGAAAACUGAUGCAAAUCAAGUACAGCUAUCCUAGGGCAGGAGGGACUGAACUUCUGAUAUCAUGUCCAGAUGGAAUUGUGAGCGGUUUUUAGCUUAGAACUCGUGAUGCAAAAUGGAAAAAGUCAUUGUGUAAAUAAAUUUAUGGACUCAGCACUUCCAAAUUAGCUGGAUGUGAUAAAGGAAUUCACUUAUAAAUUCCUUUGGCAUUUUAAAAUUGGCCAGUGUCAAUCACUUCUCUCUUUUUAAAAAAUUAAUAUUUAGAAGAAUUGUAUAUGUUUAACAUGGAUUACUUGCUGCCUUGGUGAGGGGGUGGAGAGAAGGGAGGAAGAAAACUUUGGAACACAAUGUUUUGCAAGGGUGAAUGUUGAAAAUUAUCUUUGCACAUAUUUUGAAAAAUAAAAAAAAUUUUUAAAAAUUGUUUUUUAAAGACUAUUUAGGGUAACGAAUGGGAUGCUGGCGACAAAUGUGAAUAAGGCCAACAUACUUUGGACGAGUUUAACUCCUGAACCAACUUUCUUUGGGUGCUCAAACACGCUUUGAUCCUGUGCCUCAUUGUAUUCCUGAGGUCUUUUUCAUAUAUAUGUUUUUAUCCAAGUUAAGCUUGACAAGUGAAUUAGAGUGAUAUAUUCUAGUCAAGCCAGAGAACUGUGGUCUGACGGGGCCAUUUCCAUCCUGAUACCUAGGAUUAGCCUGGAAAGAAGUAACAGCUCCAAUCUGUCCACGGCCGGUCCUGGGAAUGGAGCUCUUGGAACUUUCAUGCUGUCGCUGUACAAGCCAUCCCAGAGGUGGCGAGCAAUGUCUCCUGGAAAGGGGUGGCCAUCGGGCUUCUGAACGAGGACCCCUGAAAGUCACCCUCCUGGCGAACGGCGUAAGCCAAGGCGCCACUUGACUCACAGCAGCGGCAGAGACUUCCCUAAGCUUCAACUCGCACAAAGAACCACAGACUAUGUCUUAGGGUCCCAGACAAAAGGCUCGUCUAAGACCCAGACCUAGAACUUCAGGCACAUUUUUGCCAGAGAGUUUAAGUGCUUUGUCCAAAGUCAUAAAGGUAGCGUCAGAGGCAGGACUUGAAUUCAGGUCCUAUGACCCCAGAACUAGGUCUCUCUCCGCUGCAUCAAGCUGCUCUGGGGCACUUAUGUAGCGGCCAACCACAGACUAAAUUCUAUCUACUAACAUUCUAUUUCUCAGUAUGAAACAAAAAGCUAAUAAAAUAUCCUGCAUUCUCCAGUUUAAAAAAAGAUAUGAGAAAGAAAGUCUCCAGACCAAGGCAAAAGCUCCAGAAAUGCUACAAUGAAAUUAUGUACAUAAUCCAAUUCAAUAUGGUAAAAAAAAAAAAAAAAAAAAAUCCAUGGAACCUGGAUCUUUGGCAUUGGGCUGAGAUGGAGAAGAACAAGCAGGAAGAAAUCCCUCAAGAAUCAUGUGAACUCAUUUCAAUCAUUAAUGACAAGAGAUUUAAUAAAAUAAAGUAGAAAUU
ensembl:lncRNA